UCUUCCAAAAUAUCUCAUAAUAUGCACUGCUAUGUUAAGUCCUGCUAGCUCCUCCUCAAAAUUUCUUUCUGUCCAAGCCAAUAAGGACAGCCAGAUCUUUCACUUAUUUCUAGUGGCUUCCUGACGUAUUAGUUAAUAAAUGAAGUGCCGUGUUUUAUUCUCAUUAUAGGUUCGUAUUUCUAUUUCCAUCCUGUCAGUUCUUUUUUUUAUUUUUCAGAAGUCAUUCUUUUACUCUUUCAUUCACUGACUAAUUUCUAAUAACUCUGGUAGCUGUUGAAUUUUUUCAUAAACACCUAUGAGAUAGUGAGGCCAAGCUUACAUGAGAGUUGGACCUUUUUGUGAGGCCAUUAUUAGUUCAGUAGAAUGCCCUAGAGGGGACAUGGGGUACAACCUGGAGGUGAUCUGUACACAUCCUUUUUUUCCUGUUAUGCUUUUUGCAAUUGAUUUAAAAUAUUUAUAAGAUAAUUAAAAGGAAAUGCAUUCUCUCUGACUGGUUCCUCAUCACUCAUAGCACUAAGUCACAGAACAUUUCCCUACCCCCAUUAUUUGCCAUACAAAAUGAUUGUUUUAUUUGUAAUGAGUAAGAGUGGGGCAAAGGGUAAAACUCUCACAGUCAUUAGCCGAUUUGCAUAAAG